AUGAGGGUACAAAUCAAAUUGAAUUUAUUCACAUUUCCAAAAAAGCUCUGAUAGCAGUUAAUGUCAACGUGGAUGAAACAGGCACGAAGACAGAACAGGUUCUCCUAUUCGGCAAAGACAAUGACAUUGAUCAGGAAGACUUAGAGACAUUCAAGAAGGAGACUCUAAGUCGGAAGAUUACAGAAACAAGCAUUAAGGAUUUAACCGAACCUGAUAACUAUCUUGCUUUGGCAUGAAAAUAACUUUGAAACACCCUAAUUAGAGAGUCGCUGAGACCAGACAUGUGCUCUUCCCCAUGGAAUCAAGAUCAACAACAUGACGAUGACCUUCCUGGUUCCUGAUUAUCAUGACCCUUCUCUCUUCACAGCCACACUCCUUCCCCAUCUCAUCUCUCCUGGUCACUAAUCACGUCCUGUGUGGUGGUAUUUGAUUUCUGAGGG